CCUAACAAAUUGUUGGCCAUUAAACCUUGCCAUUGACUAAUAACUUUACACGUUGCCUUUUCCUUCCUCUUGCUUCUUCUUCUCUUUCCUCAUCUUGUUCAGAGCAAUUAGAUCCAACUCUGCUCUUACUCGAUGAAAUCAACGAGUAAGCACACCCAGCCUCUCAGUCCUACUGUUGAUCUUGUCCAUGUCCAUGAACGCGAAGUCAAAAGAAAAGCCAGAAGUUGGGACGAGAUACCGAGUUCCUAGAUACCAAACACUUCGAGUUCUUGCAUUUGUUGAGGGUUGUGUCGGUGAUAGCUUCCUUUGAGGGUUGUCGGCGGCGUUCUAACGAUCGCUGGAAGUGGGACCUUCCUUGUUAUUACUACCAGAUCUACUUUUGUGUUCUCCUUUCUUGCUUGACUGCUUCUUCUAGCCCAACAUUUGACUCGGAGCUCUCAUGCAUUCUAUCCGCAUCCCCUUGUUGCUCAUCAAGUUUUGUUUGUUUUAUUCCAAGAGAAUAAAAAAAUAAAUAAUCAAAUCCUAUGCCUGUUUGUGUUGUGUUCUGGCUCUGUUCAAGCUUUUUAUUUUUUGUCCAUGGAGAAUUGCCUACUUCAUCUUUUCUCAAAGUCACGAUGACUGGAAAUCAAGGUUUGAGUUAGACAAGAAAGGGUAAGAGAUUAAAGACUUGAUUGUGGAGAAUGAAGGGGUUGAGGAGAUAUAUGGCGACGUUGUCCCUGACAGGACUAACCAUAAAAGCUUCUAGAGUAGGUAUUUUUAUACGAUGCAUAGACUAAAGUGGACGGAGGAUUCUAGAGCCAUGCUUGUGGAGUGUGCAAUUUCUAGUGACAAGGAGGAGGAUUUGGGUUGGGAUCUUGAUGAUGACGGUGAAAUUAAAGAAGCUGGGAAAAUUCCGUCGAAGUUGCUACAUGUGAAAUUAAAGAAUUAUAGUUCAUGUGUGGCACUUUUUUUUGGGACAAACUUAUAAUAAAAGGAUAACAAAUCUCUCCCGCUCCUCUUUCUCACGGCUUCUAUUUGCUUUCCUUUCAUCCACCAACUUCAAUCUUCAUCAUCCUUCAAGGCUGAUGCUGCACAAGCCUUGUGGGGUACAAGAUGAAGGAGAAAGUUUCGAUAAGAACAAAGUAGAGCAAAAUGGGGACGAGGAAGGCGGCGUACGAGAUAACUGCAGAAGAAAGUUUUGAUUUUUGGAGGGAAGGAGGUAGACGGCCAACAUGUUGAAUUUUUGGAGGGACCAGUAUGCGUGAGGGAGGGCUGUAAUGAAUUCUUGGGUUUAUUUCACCAGCAGUUACAGUUACUCUCAAAAUUCUCAAAUCCAUUGAUCUAAUCUAACAACAAAGAAGCAGCCACGCAGCGCCACUCACUCUGUGCUUGUAAUCAAGACACUGAUGGGAUCCAGAUCCCUCUUCUCAUGUUCAAGGAAAUGAUCCAGAAAGAGCCUGACAAAGUCUUGUCCAGGGUGCAGGAUAUGAUUGCUCUGAAGCAAGGCGAGGAAAGAGAAGAGGAAGGAGAAGGCAACACGUGUAAAAUCAGUCAAAGCCAAUAUUCAACGGUCAAUAGUUAGCUAGGUUAACUGUGGAAUGAAAUUGCCAUCUUUUUUAAAA